CGGGGCGAGCGCGUCUCCCCACAGUGUUGCCGCGGAAAAGCCUGGCGUUGUGCAUGGGUUUCAGCCGGAGGCCUGAGGAGGACUUGACUGGUGCUUCCAGAAGGUGGCGCCUAGUUAGUGUCGCGGGACUCUGCCUGCUCCCGCGGUCUCCGUCUCCUCCCGGUGUCCGGAGAGUCAUGAAUGAUGGCGAGUCCAGCGCGCGGGGUCGGGGGCUCCAGGAAGGGCGGGUUCAAGUCCGGGCCGACACCUUGGGCGCCUUCAUUUUUCCCAGGAAAGCUUCAAAGAGUGAAGCACGAAAUAGUCCUUCCUUCUCCGCUCCCGAAGCCCGUCCGGGAUCGGCGCCCGGCGCGGGGCAGGAGCCUGCCCCCUGGGCGCAUUCCGCGCGGCGGGAGGUUGGGUUCAGCUGCGCUUCCCCGCCCCUCGCUCCGGGGCCCCUUCGCCCUCCAGGCGCGGCCGUGCCCUUCCCGCCUCCCGGGUCGGACCUGAGGCCACGGCCCAGACGAAGUUCUCAGACAGCGGCGUCACACCAGACCGCCGAGAUGCCGUCCGUGGGGCGGGUGACCCAGGCUCCGAGCGGGAAAGUCUACCAGCAGAUCUUCCAGGCUGAGGUAGGCGCUGGCCCUCGGCCCCGCCUUCCUGCUCGUCUCCCCGACUUCCCUCCCGCCGCCCCAGCGCCGCCAUCCCUGGGGCGCUCUUCUGCUCCUCCCCAUUCCCAGCCCGCCCCCAAAUUCCCCGUGCUCUGAAGGCUUUCCCGGCGGGGAAGCCAAUAAAAUAAAGGAUUUCGACAU
rnacentral:lncRNA from 1 species